rnacentral:lncRNA from 13 species
CUUUGUGUGACUUUGGUUAUGUUAACUAAAAUCCCGGUUACUUACUUUUCAGGUUACCCGCAAGACAGAAGUGAACCUUGAUUAGAAACGGUAGAGAGGAAAUUGGGUGUUUGCCAAAAGAAGUGUGCAAACAUGAAACGAACAUUUGCUGACUGUUAAUGCUUUGAUUGGCAACCUAAGGGCAUUCUUUUUUUUUUUUUUUUUUUUUUUAAAAAAAAAAAAAAAUUUUUUUAAAAAAU